rnacentral:rRNA from 1 species
UACGAAGGGGGCUAGCGUUGCUCGGAAUCACUGGGCGUAAAGGGUGCGUGGGCGGGUCUUUAAGUCAGGGGUGAAAUCCUGGAGCUCAACUCCAGAACUGCCUUUGAUACUGAGGAUCUUGAGUUCGGGAGAGGUGAGUGGAACUGCGAGUGUAGAGGUGAAAUUCGUAGAUAUUCGCAAGAACACCAGUGGCGAAGGCGGCUCACUGGCCCGAUACUGACGCUGGGGCACGAAAGCGUGGGGAGCAAACAGG